rnacentral:rRNA from 1 species
GACGAACGCUGGCGGCGUGCUUAACACAUGCAAGUCGAACGGGAUGAUUUAGAAGCUUGCUUUUAGAGAAUCUAGUGGCAAACGGGUGAGUAACACGUAGGCAACCUGCCGACAGGAUGGGGACAACAUUCCGAAAGGAAUGCUAAUACCGAAUGAAGCGGAGGAGAGGCAUCUCUCCUGCGUGAAAGAUGGCCUCUAUAUAUAAGCUAUCACCUGUCGAUGGGCCUGCGUCUGAUUAGCUGGUUGGUGAGGUAACGGCUCACCAAGGCGACGAUCAGUAGCCGGUCUGAGAGGAUGAACGGCCACAUUGGGACUGAGACACGGCCCAGACUCCUACGGGAGGCAGCAGUGGGGAAUCUUCCGCAAUGGGCGCAAGCCUGACGGAGCAACGCCGCGUGAGUGAAGAAGGUCUUCGGAUCGUAAAGCUCUGUUGAUGGGGACGAACGUGCGA